GGAAGGUAGACGGUCACUUAGGCUGGUGGUGGUUUUCUGAGUCAUUCUGUCUCCCACGGCCAAGUGUCCUAGAGCUAUCGUCCUACAGCACGGAAUGUGAACUCCAUAGUUUAGUGAUCUGCAGACAAUACCCACAGAGAGAGACAGUGAGAGAGAGCAUGAGCGAGGAGAAGGUCAGAGGGAGAAGCAGACUCUCCAUUGAGCUGGGAGCCUGAUGUGGGACUCGUCCCGGAACUCCAGGAUCAUGACCUGAGCCGAAGGCAGUCGUCCAACCAACUGAGCCACCCAGGCGUCCCGAAGAUGGAAUGUCUUAAGUCUACUUUUUUCUUUUUUUAUUUUGCUUGACAGGUAUAUGUUAGUAAUAAAAAAAAAUGUCACAGUGUGGUGAUAUGCAUGCACUUGAAAUGGUGUCAAGUAAAAAUAUAUUUUGGUGAUUUGUAGUAUGUAGCAGCAGUCUGAAGUGAUAAGAAUGACACAUAUGGUGUCAAUUAUGAAUAUUCUGUUGUUCUGUAAAUGCAGCCAUAGACAGUAGGUAAAUAAGUACGACUGUAUUCCAAAACUAUUUUAUUUAUGGGCACUGAAAUUUGAGUUGCGUAUAAUUUUAUGUGUCAUAAAUUGUUACUAUUCUUUUGUUUUUUUUCCAGCCACAUAAAAUGUAAAAGCUGUAAUCAGCUGUAGACUGUACAAAAGCAGGAGGUAGGGUUCAGCUUAUAGGGCAUAGUUACCCAAGUGCCUGUGGAGAAUAGCUACAUAAAGUAGCCUUUUGAGUUUAUUUUACUUGAAGGGAUGAAAAGGAGUUUGUGAUUUUCUUCAUAACAUUCUCUGUUCUCUAGUUUUCUCUCCUCCUUUUUUUUUUUUUUUUUUAAUUUUGAGUAAGCUCCAUGCCCAGUGGAAUUUUAACUCACAACCCUGACAUUAAGAGUCACAUGCUCUACUGACUGAGCCAGCCAGGCACCCGUUGGGAGUUUAUAUUUUAGUUUAAAGAGAUUGUUAUUCAUAUUCUUUCUGUAUUAUAGACUUUUUAUUGUGGUUAAGUAUGAAAAUCCUAGUGAUUUCAAAAUUUUAAAAGUAUAAUUUCAGAAGAGAAAAAGCUGACAGAUAUAUAUCAGUAUGCUUUAUAUUUUUAUGCUUGAUAUUAUUCUUUCAAUUGGAAAACAAGAAAAAGUAAAAAAAUAUUUAAAGGGUAUGAGAUGGCCAAAAUUAAAUCACAGAGAAAUUUUCAAAGCAUUUUUUUUUAAAGAUUUUAUUUAUUUAUUUGACAAAGAGGGAGAUCACAAAUAGGCAGAGAGGCAAGCAGAGAGAGGGGGAAGCAGGCUCCCUGCUGAGCAGAGAACCCAAUUGUGGGGCUCGAUUCCAGGACCCUGAGAUCAUGACCUGAACUGAAGGCACAGGCUUAACCCACUGAACCACUUAGUUGCCCCUCAAAGCAUAUUUUUUGAAAUUUUGUAUAGUAUAUAAUCAUUUUUUUUUUAAGAUUUUAUUUAUUUAUUUGACAGGCAGAGAUCACAAGUAGACAGAGAGGCAGGCAGAGAGAGAGAGAGGAAGAAGCAGGCUCCCUGCCCAGCAGAGAGCCCGAUGUGGGGCUCGAUCCCAGGACCCUGGGAUCAUGACCUGAGCCGAAGGCAGCGGCUUAACCCACUGAGCCACCCAGGCGCCCCUCAUUUUUGUUUUAAAAAAAUAUGAGAGGCAAGGAUCUAGAUAUAUUCCCACCAAUAAGAGAUUGAAAAGAAACACACCAACAUGUUAACAGUGACUUCUCUCAGUAGGAGGGUUAUGGAAACUUUAUUUUUUGCUUGCCUGUUUUCUAACAUUUUUACAAUAACAUAUUUUUAAGAAUAAACAGAUACAUGCUACAUUAUUUCAAAAUAGUGUAUUUUUGAAGGGCAAAGAGGACAUCUCGAGAUAUUUAGACUCCUUUGGAUAUUAUUUUUUUUAAUUAAAUUUGUUACAUUCUGUGCAUAAGCAACUGUGUAGCAAAGCUAUUCUAAUCAUUACUGUAGAUGGAUCACUUAUACCAGCCACACUGUUAUAUGCCAUCUCUCAGAGGCACAUAAUUCACCUAAACUCUGAAUUUUCUUUCUCUUCAGAGAAGUCUAUUCCAAAUGGACAAAUUUUUCAUAUCUCUAUAUGAUGUCAACAGAGCCCCAAAUGAGGUGGACCAUCCUAUAUAAUUAUAGAAUAAAAACUUCAGUAUUGAGGAGCCUGGGUGACUCGUUCAGCUAAGCAUCCAACUCCUGAUCUCAACUCAGGUCUUGAUCUCAGUGUUGUGAAUUCAAGCCCCAUGUUGGGCUCUAUGCCUCCCCACCCCCCCAAAAAAGAUUUCAGUAUUUAAAAGCUACUUGGGGGGUGCCUGGGACCCUGAGAUCAUGACCUGAGCCGAAGGCAGUGGCUUAACCCACUGAGCCACCCAGGCACCCCCUUUUAUUACU